GUCUGAGUUUUCAGACUGACAGCAAAAGAACAGAGUUCUGGAAUUCUGAGGGAGCCGCUACUGUUGAAGAGAGACAGUUAAGCCUAGGGCUGUGGCUUUUUCCCUCUGGGUGGAUGUGAGGAGAAUUAGCUUUUCCUUGUGCCAUUUGAUAGCUUAUUCAUCACAUCUUACUGUUGUUUGGAUUAUCCUGUAUCUGUUGGCCUUUUGACAUCUACUGAGCUCCUGUACUGUGACAACUAACAGCUGAUUUGCCAAGGAGCCAUGGUUAGUCUGUAUCACAGUGAACAUUUGGAUGCUAAGCUUCUGAGUUCCCUGCCGUUUUCCAAGUGAAAAGAGAGUUGAAGAUUGUGGAGAGAUCGUGACUUACUAGAGGAUUCUCGCCCCUUAGUCCACUAGAGCUGAGAUGGCUAGCUUAUAGUGCUGGGGAAAUCGUAGUAAGAAGCAGUGAUUGUCAGGGAUUGUCAUUCCCAGCAGCCAUCAGUAGCCACCACAGGAGCAGCAAGGAGCAAAUAUGCAUCAAGAAAAACAUCAGUCCUGAAACCCUGUAAUGGUGGUUUUGGGUAGUCGAGGAAAGGACGAACUGGAUGGCUUCAGAAAAAUCUGUGAAGAUUUGUGUGAACUAACUCAGAGUAAAAUAAGCAUAACCAGGAGGCCACUGGACUCAGGAACAGCGAUAUUGAAGCAAGACCGUGCUAAAGGACUCAUGAUUAAUGAACCCAGCCUGAGACAAAAUCAUGUUUUACUGACUGGCAAUGCUUCUUUCAUUUCAAUUUGUCUGAGAAGAAAAUAAGGUAAAGUGAUGCUUCUUCCAAAACAGGAAUGAGUAGCUUCCAUUCUAUCAAGGUCACUGGACCAAAUUUCCAGAAGCAGCUAGCCUUGAAUUCAAGGUAUCCCUAGAUGGGAAUUAAAAAGAGAAGCAAAUGGAAAGGCUAUCUUAUAAUUAAACAUGUUGGUCAAAGCAAACAACAGUUGGGUAAAACAGAACUUGACAUCCCUUACCCAUUUGUGAAGAUGAAUUGGGAAAUGAAAAUACAUCAGCCUGAACUUGUCCUUAAGCCAUGACAAGAGAGCAUGCAGAGCUCUCACUGAGCUGAUGACAGUCUAUUAAAGUACUUUGAAAGUUAGAAUAAUUGUUGUUUUUAAUCCAAAUGUAAUUAAUGGGCCCAAUUCCAGUUACAUAAGAACAACUCAAAUAAUCCUUUGAUGAAAAUGAAAUGCUUCCAAGAAUGCUAUGGGGGUGGGAGGGAAGACCUAAAAUUGGAUGCUAAUUCAUUGAGAAUUAAAGGAAAACUUUACUCAAUGCCCUCAGGCAGUACCCUUGGCAUUUUGUGUCUACUCUUCUUUUCUUCUAGGCUACUCUAACUUGACAUACAAUUUGUCCUACUCUUGGCUUGUCAUUAUAAAGGUUGUGUCUACACAGGCAAAUUAUCUGGAGAGUUGAAUCCAGAAAAAAAAAAAGGAAGUUUUAACUACAUCUAUAUGAUCAUGAUUUGCUUGGAUGGAAUGGAAAAUUGUAGUUUAGUUGGUCAGCUAAAGAGUUCAGACCUGUCACAGGUAAGGAGUCCCUUACUCCUGAAAGAUCAGUAAUUACUGAGGUGUUUGUGCAUGAGGGAGACUUGUUUAUACUUUGCUAACAAUAGCAGCUAGCAGCUAGAUUCACUUAUUAAGCACUGUGUGCAAUCCAAAAGACAGUAUAGUAUAGGAGUUGGCCUUGGAGUCAAGAAGAUCUAGAUUCAGUGGCUACCUUGACAUAUACAAAAACAGAGUGCUGCCAUUUAAAGUUUAUGCCUCUGAGCAAUUCUGUAAGGCUAUGCCUCACAGAAAAGUCUACAUCUGCAUCCGGGAAGGGAGUUUCUAUCCUGAGAGCUCAUUAUGCCAGGGAAAUCACAAACUAGGACCAAACAAAUAAACAUUUAUGUGUUAUGUCUAACUGGUAUUUU
rnacentral:lncRNA from 1 species